rnacentral:rRNA from 1 species
AGAGCGAACGCUGGCGGCAGGCCUAAUACAUGCAAGUCGAACGCACCUUCGGGUGAGUGGCGGACGGGUGAGUAACACGUGGGAACGUGCCUUUGGUUCGGAAUAAUCCGGGGAAACCUGGCCUAAUACCGGAUGUGCCCUUCGGGGGAAAGAUUUAUCGCCAUUAGAGCGGCCCGCGUCUGAUUAGCUAGUUGGUGAGGUAAAGGCUCACCAAGGCUACGAUCAGUAGCUGGUCUGAGAGGAUGAUCAGCCACACUGGGACUGAGACACGGCCCAGACUCCUACGGGAGGCAGCAGUAGGGAAUCUUGCGCAAUGGGCGAAAGCCUGACGCAGCCAUGCCGCGUGAAUGAUGAAGGUCUUAGGAUUGUAAAAUUCUUUCAGCGGGAAGAUAAUGACUGUACCCGCAGAAGAAGCUCCGGCUAACUUCGCGCCAGCAGCCGC